CCUGAGAAACCUAAAAGAUCGAAUGGGGAGAUUCAUCGUCAGCGCAUUUUGUAUAUAUAUAAGUUUAUGAUGUGAGUUACUCAUUGUAGUAUUGCUUAUACAUACUUGUAUAUUUAUUUGCAAGAUGUUGUCGGCGUGCACUUCUCCCCUAGUAGAACAUCGCGACCCGUUGAGUGUUGGUUUACAACCCAAGUGGGAGACUUUAAUGUUUUUAUAAUAUUAAAGACCCUUGGUGUCAUUUAACCAGCUGUUCGACGGUAUUCGUACGGUAUUUAGCCGCAUUUAUAUGCGUCCAUAUCCGUCGCAAGCGUGGCCAAUAUUUGGUAGUACGGACUUAGUGCUGUCGCUAGAAUUGGCCAGCUGUUGGUUGUACGGUUAUUCUAGGACUGGCUAAAAUUAAAUUACCGGUCGGCGAUGCUACUGCUUUAGGUACUUUCAGGACCCGUCUUGAAACACGGACCAAGGAGUCUAACAUGUACGCGAGUCAUUGGGAUAUUUUUUAAAAUUAAACCUAAAGGCGUAAUGAAAGUAAAGGUUGUCCUUGCGUCAACUAAGGGAGGAUAAGUUGUAUUGAGAUACAUCUUCGCACUCCCAGGGCGUUUCAUUCUCAUUAUGAGAAGAGGCGCACCUAG
rnacentral:rRNA from 1 species